UGAAAUCUGGCCCCCGGGUCCGAGUUGUAAUUUGUAGAGGAUGCUUUUGGUGCGGUACCUUCCGAGUUCCCUGGAACGGGACGCCAUAGAGGGUGAGAGCCCCGUCUGGUUGGACGCCAAUCCUUUGUAAAGCUCCUUCGACGAGUCGAGUAGUUUGGGAAUGCUGCUCUAAAUGGGAGGUAUAUGUCUUCUAAAGCUAAAUAUUGGCCAGAGACCGAUAGCGCACAAGUAGAGUGAUCGAAAGAUGAAAAGCACUUUGAAAAGAGAGUUAAAAAGUACGUGAAAUUGUUGAAAGGGAAGCGCUCAUGACCAGACUUGGGCCCGGUUGAUCAUCCAGGGUUCUCCCUGGUGCACUCUUCCGGCCCAGGCCAGCAUCAGUUCGCUGUGGGGGAUAAAGGCUUCGGGAAUGUGGCUCCUCCGGGAGUGUU
rnacentral:rRNA from 1 species